rfam:Tupaia chinensis contig180923, whole genome shotgun sequence.
CCAAAGGCUCUUUUCAGAGCCGCCUCAGUCUGUCUGAAGGAUCUGU